GCAGUUCCAAUGUGUGAGGGAAACAGGGGAACAUGACGCGGCGGCUGUCGUAAAGCAUCCCACGAUCCCCUCCUCCGGAUUCGCCGCCCGAGAGACAAACGGAAUCGCCGCCGCCGCAUUACACAUCUACACGCCAUGUCUGCAGGCGGCGCCGCGAGACACCAUCUCCGCGUCCAUGUGCCGUACGCCUCCAUCCCCACGUCGGUCCGCCGCAUCCGUCCACAACCUUAACUUGAUUUCUGAACGGGAUGAAGGAUUAAAUCUUGUGCUAGAUGAAACCAGGUGUCCUUUUAACCUUGCUGUGCACGAGCUCAAGAGGAGAUGUGCUUGUGUAUGAUGUUUGGUUAAUUUCAGAUCAAAUGAUGAAGGAUUAAAUCUUGUGGUAGAUGAAACCAGGUGUCCUUUUAACCUUGCUGUGCACGAGCUCAAGAGGAGAUGUGCUUGUGUAUUAUGUUUGGUUAAUUUCAGAUCAUAGGAUGAAGGAUUAAAUCUUGUGCUAGAUGAAACCAGGUCUCCUUUUAACCUUGCUGUGCACGAGCUCAAGAGGAGAUGUGCUUGUGUAUGAUGUUUGGUUAAUUUCAGAUCAUAUGAAACAAUAGGAGAUGCACAAUUUCAUUUAUGAAAUCAGUUGUAUUCUGCAUUAUCUGGUACAGUGUCAGUGUUCUUCCUUCUAUAUUUUUGCUGGGUUAGUAUACGGCUUUGUAGCACAAAAAAUGGCCACGAUUCUAUGUAGCUGGAGAAGCAAAAUAAAAACCAUAUGCUCAUUUAGUUUUUGUACAUUAUUCUUUUCAUUAUGCAUGCUAUUCCUUUGUAUUUAUGCCAUUGUUUCUUUGCUAAAAUAUAUUUUAUAUGUCACUUACUAUCUCAAAACUGCAGGAUGGAACAUUAAUUCAGUACUAUCACUGGAAACUGUACAAUAUUCAGGAAUCUGAAAGAUUUGCUUUUGCACUUCUAUUUUUCUAUCAUGGAAUACUUUCAUCUUGAAGCACCUACUGAUGGAAAGCCAAUUGUGACAAGGUGUACAUCUUGUUUCUAUCAAGUAGUUUUUUAAUCCUGUGCCUCAAUAUCACAAGAACCAUUUCUGUAUUACCCUUCCUUUUAUUUUCUUUUAUCAUAUAUGGUAUUCAUUACAUAUACACAAACUAGGCUCUUUCACUCUUGACCUUAAAGGUGAGGGUAACAACCAGUAGAUGCAGUGAUCUAUAUUUAAGCACCUCAUUUCUUCAUAUUUAUUUACGUUGUACUAUAUGUGUUCUAUUUUCAUAUGCAUGCAUAAUUUGUUCAAAGUAAUGUUAAUCACUUCCAACAGUAUUCAGAUUUAGAAUUAUUACCGAUUCUCGAUUAAAUUUAGAGAGUUACCUCGGAUUUAGCAAGAAGGGAGUUGUUGAUCCUUUUCUCACUUUAGUAGAAAGUUACUGAAAUCUGGUGUGUUGCUGCAUGAGUAAUAAACAUGAUCAAGUGACACAUCAUUCUCCACACACCCAAUGGUUAAGGAACUUUCUUAGACUUGAGAAACAAGUAGGCAAUUUGCAAGCUUCCAAUAAGCGCUAGGCGCUAAGCGAGCGAUGAGAGCCAGAUUAGUGUAAUUGCAGCUUAAGCGCGAACAGUUUGGUAUUUAUGUCAUAUGGCCAGGAACAACUUUUACUCCGGUAACAUUUUAAACCAGCAAGUUCUUAAGAAUGCUAUUCUUUCUGCAUAUUGCAUAGUCAUACUAGGCAAUGAACAAUUAUGCUCAAGUGGACUUUUACUGGAGACUCAGUUUCAGGCUAUUAGCAUCUUGUGCAUUUCAGGUUGGCAGGAAUUCGUAUCUUAUCUGAAAUGUUUUUUUGUACUUUUGUAUUUAUGGAGUCUAUUUGGAAAUUGAAGUUAUGUCAAUAAGAGACUAAACUGUAUUGUGCCCUUGAAUGCUUCAUGUUGGAUAUAGGCGUAUAGCAGUAAUCAAGAAUGCUAGCUCGAAGAGGGGCGUAUGAAUGGUAUAUUGAACUCAAGCCAAAUCAGACCUAUGAUUUAUUUGAACUGUAACAAAAAAUUGUGCACCGGGACUCUCAUGUACUGUUAGGAUCUAAACUUCCGAAGCUUUCAUUGUGGCACUUAUCAUCUCGGAGAGUUGUUUAUCGUAUCCCCUGAAAAUGUCGUGUUGACAAUUUGCCUUACUUUACAGCUAAUUGACACUACAUGCAUCUAGGUAUAGCAUGAAGGUUUUGAAAGGCCGACAAUAUUCGACAGAUGGUAAAUAUAUAUUUCCUACGUUGCCAUUUUCACAUUUUCUGGCUUUUUUCUUUCUAAAUCAUUGUGUAAAUGUGGCUAUUCUCUAUUUCACAUACCUGCCUAUUUAUUGUUUGGUGACCAAGCUGAACUGAAACUUGAGCGUAGUAUUGUGUUGCUUGCUUAAUCAUAUUCGUGUUUGCCAGAAAAAGGUAUUAUUCAUAUUUUCCAAAAAAGAAGGUAUUAUUCGUCUUCAAUGUUCUUUAAAUUACAUAUAGCAGAUUUGAAUUGACUCGGGCGUAUAUGGGCCUAACAUAUUACUGUAUCAAAAUAAAAUUUGCAGGUAAAUACCCUACACGCAUUGUUUAGUGUUCUGCAACUAAAUCCUACGUUGUCUACACAGUUCAUAUGAUGCAAGACUCUGCUAGCAUGUGACAUUCACCUCUUUUCAGUGAACUUUGGGUCACCGAGCCGUGGUGGAAGACAAAAAAUAAUAAAUUAUUUGAGAGAGUUAGAUUGAUGAAGCAAGCCUGGUUUUGGCUUUAUAAAGACGAGCGCUCACUUGAUAGUCUUCAUUUGUAAUUUCUAUGAACACUUGCCCUGUGUUACCACUUGUACAUAUGUAAUAACUUAUAUAAUAUAUGUAUCAGUUGUAGGAGCUUUUCCUUCUAUAAGUUCCCUAAAAAAAGGUUGAUUUCA